GAUAGUGUGAGUGGGGCAUCUGUAUGGACACAUUCUUGUUAAUGUUCUUAUUCUCAAGGUAACAGUCAGGCAUUUUACCCUUCUCUGACGCAUUCUUUCCACUACAAUCCCAGCCCUCUUAAACCUUACUCCUUAGUGUUUCAUGCUUUUAUCAGAGAAGCAACACAUAUCACUUUGAAAGUCUUUACUUUAACCCUCUUUUAAACCCACAACCUACUGCACAAUAGGCAAACACUCUUAAUUGAAUCUGUUUCACAACCUAUAAUAACUUGUAAUUAGACAAAAGUAUAAACAGUUUGUUAA
rnacentral:lncRNA from 1 species